GAAUUCAGUAUGCAGAUACGUUACAGCAUCUGCAAUCUCCUUAGCGAUCUUCAAUCUUACACUCCAAGCCAAUGGCUUGAUUACCUCCCCCGCACCUCCUAUAUAGGCAAGAGCUCCCUUUUCUGGGUAUUCACACACGAGAACCGGACGAGGAAACUCUAGACAACACCCCAAGAGCUUGAGAACAUUCUUAUGGCUGCUCAUCAUCGAUGAAACCGCAAUAUCACGGUAAAAGUUGUCAGGGUCAAAGUUAAAGGGUUCACCUUUAUAGUACUUGAUCAGCACGGCUCUGUUUUCAAUCGUACCUUUGUACCACACGAAUCUGUCUACACCGAUUGCAUAGCUCCAGUCGAAGUUGUUUGUAGCUUCAAGGAUUUGGUGAGAAGAAAACGUACGGAUGGGAUUGUAUUUACCUCCUGACGAUGCAAUGAGUAAAGUCCCACAUCGACAAGUUAGAGAGCCGUGGUCAUAAGCAUUGUAGUAUAAAUAAGAAGCUCCGCCCAUCGUCCAAAUCAUACCUUUCUCGGCCUUUUGGCUAAGAUCAAGUGUAGUAUCUGUUCUUAUCAGUUUAAUAUCUGAUAUGUGGGCCAUCGGCCCACACGAUAUUAACUCUAUUUUUUAAGGGAGAAAGCCCACUAAGAUAGCUUGCUAUCUGGGCUUUCACGAGUCGCCCAUGCGUUGCACUACUGCACGGGCCUGGCUCAACCCGCCAAGCAAAUAAGUCAAAACUUUUUAAACCUUACUCUUUAUCUUUCAAGUCCAAAAGCUCAGAGGAUAAAAGUGAAUGGAGAAAAACUCUGUUAAAUAACGUUUUCUGUAAUUAUCUAUCUUCCUGUAGAAAAUCAGAGAUAUUUAUAUAUGUUACGCAGGU